rnacentral:lncRNA from 1 species
AACGAGCAAGAAGACAAAUAAGAGCCUUAAUUGCGUCUCCUGAUCAAUGCCAGGAAUUCAGGCGGCACCUGCCUUUGUUUGCAGUUAUUCUCCCGAUGCUGUACCAGAAGAGCUGAAGCCACCCUGGAAUUCACAUGUAGGUAGAGACUAGAGACUGUUCCUGCCAACACAAAGCAAAUAAUAUUCAGGCAUGUUCAUCACAGACAACUUAGUUAUGGAUUAAGUAGCGAUCUUAUGAUCUACUCGAACCAAAUCUUAAAAUGUGCAAAAGUAUUUUAUGUUGCUCUAUGUUGAUAUGAAUCUCAAUCCUUACAUAAAUAAAGAAAGAAAAUUACAAUUUACAAAAGUGAAUAGACAGAAGCGAGUCCCCACAGACCACAACAAUAUGGAGAAGAAGAAAUAGAAAAGAGCUGGUGUUGAAUAAUCCAAUUGUUCCCUUGUUAGCUAUCACAAAACUGUUCAUGUUUGGUACAUUUCCACAACCUGGACACAUUUCUGGUCUGCUACCUAAUUUUGUAAUCAUCUCUGUUUCAACUUCAUAUUAUAUCUCUUCAUUCAAUAUCCACUCGUGCAUUUUUCAAUUAUUGUAUCGUUUUUGUACCAUACUUCAUAUACGCUAUGAUGCGUGCAACCAAAUUAGUAUCAAAUAAUUUUUUUAAUAUUUGUUGCUGAUGGAUAAAUGAUUUAUGAAGGAAUUGAAAUAUAAUAUAUAAAAAUUCAAGAUUUGCAUUUCUUCGUCCCACUAAGACAAUCUAAACUAGAAAUCAAACUUCAAAUUUGAGAAGUAAUGUUCCGAUCUCAAUAAAAUGCAGUUCAUAACCAUUGCCUAUGAAUCCAGGAGGCUAAAAGUCUUGUGCACCUUUGAUAAUAAAUGUUUUUAUUAUUGUUUUCGCAACAAGGGGUUUACAUUGUUCCAUAAUCUAGUUAUCUAUAAUGCACACGAAAGACUCAGUGUUACAAGGCCACAUUUCUAAGUGCAGGAUGAGAUGCCUCCCUGGCUCCAUGCUUUUAUUUCACGCCUCAGUUUCCUUCUCUUCGCCAUUUCUCCUGAUGCUGUCUGCCUCGACGGCCUUUCCCUUUGCGAUCUUCAGAAGAUACCGAAGAAUUUUAACUUUAACCUGGCCUCGUUUCGGAGGAAGCAUUGUCUUCCCUGUGGAACAUGACUCGGCAAAAUAUCUACUGGUAUUGCUCAUCUCACAAUCUCUGUUGAUAGAGUAAAGAUAACACGUCUAGCAAAUAAGUGAGUUCUAAUCAAGAGAUGAAUGCAGCAAUUUAGUAACAAAUGGAUUUGUUCUGCUUUGGUACAAGGCUUGAGAUUCUCUGGUGUGUGUUAUAUAUAGCUUUGAACCAAAAGUGCUGGUCACAUAAAGUUGGGACAUAUUGUGAACAAUCAACACUUAAAAGAGCUUAAGCACUUUUUUGUUUUUAUUGAAAGUUUCUGAGCACUUGCACUCAUUUCAUUUUUGCAAGUUAAAAAGAUUGUGAAUUCCAUCUGCAAGUGCUCAAGCCUGGGAAGUCCUGAGGUGCACAAGUCAAAAGCUGCACAGUCGUGUACAUAUUAUUUGGUUGCAACGUAUGUACGGGCGAGUCCAACGUAUCCUAGUUCGUUGUCUAUUAAUAUAAUAGAAUAAUGAUCUCCAAGGAUCCCGUGAUUUAGAAUCACUAUUUUACGCGUCACUCCAACAACAAUCCCUGUUUCAAUUUCUCAUUAUUUCUAUAAUAAUAUAUUUCAACUUGUAAAGUGAAAAUAGUGGGGGCAAAAAGUAGGAAGUAUUAAAUAGUGGAACCACGAGUGUAGAAAAAGAGUGAAAUGAAUUUUUAUUUCAAAAGACAAAACCGGGGAUAAAAAUUGAGCGACCUAAAAAUUGGGCAUGACUAGUAAUUUUAAAGAUGUCGACAUUGUUGGGGCUGCAUUUAAUGUCAUAUUUCUUAUAUUUGAUCUUAGGAGUUCAUCUAGGAAAGCUGUUGGACUUGCUCUAAGAAGACCAAGUCAAUUCAAGUACCCGUACCACGAACUCGUGUGGUAUGUUCAGCGAAUCAAGACAUGAUUAGAUUGUGUUCUUCGUCACUGCAAACAUGAUGUUCCCCAUUAUAUAGGACCUGGAACACUCUGAAUGGUAAAAGACAAGAAAAACUAAACAUGUCUCCUGCAGUAGUUUUCACCAAAGUGACAGAACACAUCAGAGAUAUUUUUAAGGCCACAGGGGAAGAAAUGCAUGCCAUGUCAUUAAGGUUUUGAAAUUUGUUUAGCUUAUUAUUUCUUUCAAUUGCCUCCAGUACCAAGGUGAAACACUCUUCCUAUUCUUGUAGUAAAGAAGAAGAUAUUACCAUAGCAUCACUCCUAGUUAGAAACACUGCACUACCACAAAUUGAUAGAUGCCAAAAAUUUCCCAACAGGCAGAAAAAAUUAAUGGAGCAGAGAGGCCAGCACCUCGCUAACUCCAGGGCAAAGUCAGUCGGGCUUUGCAACAUAAUACCAGAUCAAGGAAAGACAAACAUACCUGCUUCUAAUUAGCAGACUUCACUUCCAGUUGUUUCUGUGACUUUCUAAAAAGAAUUUCUUUUUAUGGAAAUUAAGAGAAAUGAUGUAUGAAUGGUGAAAGAUAUCGACUCCUUCUACAAGCAGUAUUAACUAUAUUGACGAUAUUAAUAACACUGGCCUGUCUAUGGGCAAGACUAAAGAGACUUUAUAAUGAGUAUAUAUAACCAAACAAACUAUUAUCCACUUCCAAAAAUUCCAUGCAUGUUGAAGCUUAGCAGUUAGUACAAGACUGAAAAAAAUUGAAUUUCCUUACAGAUAGUUUGCUAGCUGUCUUGAAAGGAGCCAAAGGCCAAUUAUAUAUCAUGCUCUUCUAAUCUAGUUGUUGCUUCUUAACAGAACAGGUAUGAAAAAAAAGCUCUUCUGAGGCCUGAGCUCAUUAAAACAGAAAUCCCCAUUACCUAUUAGCAUACUAAAUAAUCCGGGGGAACGCCGAUUGGCGCUAAAACAGAGAUCUCCUCCCAACUCAAUACAAUGUGAAUCCCUACCCAAAUCCCCAUCACUCCAUAAGCAUUGACAUAAUAAUUCGAACUUUUUGUUUUAUCAGAAAUUUUUAUCAUGGAGUAAAUCAAAUAUUGUGCAGAACAAAAAAGACAGAAGACCUAAUUCAGCAAAAUCAGCAAAAUAUUUCAUUCAUCUAUCUUGCGUUUUACAUAUAUAUAUAUAUAUAUAUCUCAGUGAGCAAAAUUACGCAAACUAAUUCAAAAUUUACCUAGUAAUUGAAAGUACAAAAUAGAACAAUAAGUAAUGCAUAUAUCCAUCACUCACAUAAGCUGCUGUUGCUAAUAAUUAUGCAUCAGUGCAAGCCUAAACACAAGCCUGUUUAGGGCAAGACUAAAGAGACUUUAUAAUGAGUUUAAAACCAAAACAAACUAUUCUACUUUUAAAAGUUCCAUGCAUGUUGAAGCUUAGCAGUUUGUACAAGACUGAAAAAAAAUUAAAUUUUCUUACAGAGACUCUGUUAGCUGUCUUGACAAGACAAGUAAUCAAAUGCAAACUAUUUAUUUACGCUGAAACUUCCAUGAUAAACUAUCAGUGUGCAUGACAUGUAUUCAUGCUCUUCUAAUAGCAGUGCUUCUUACAGAACAGGGCCUGAGCUCAUUAAAACAGAAAUCCCAAUUACCUAUUAAAAACUAAUAUAUAACUGGGUGAACGCCAAUUGGCACUAAAACAUAGAUCCCAACUCUAUAUAACGUAAAUUCCUACCCAAAUCCCCAUCACUAAAUAAGCAUUGACAUAGUAAUUAACUUUUCUAUUUUAUCAGAAAAAUUUAUCAUAGAGUAAAUCAAACGUUGUGCAGCAAAAAAAAAGACAGAAGACUUAAUUCAGAAAAAUCAGCAAGAAAUUGCAUUCAUCUAUCCCAUGUUUUACAUACAUACAUAUAUAUAUAUAUAUAUAUAUAUAUAUAUAUAUAUAUAUAUAUAUANACAUAUAUAUAUAUAUAUAUAUCAGUGUGCUAAAUUAUGCAAGCCAAUUCAAAAUUUACAGAGUAACUGAAAGAACAAACUAGAACAAUAAGUAAUGCAUGCAUACAUCCAUCACUAGCAUAAGCUGCUGUUGCUAAUAAUUAUGCAUCACUUGCCCCAGCUGCUGCUAAUAAUCACGAGAGACAGCUCUUCUUGUUCAGGCAUGAGUUCUCUUUCUCUUCAAAUUUUCUUUUCCCAGGUUUGCUGUUUUCAACAGGCUCCUCUUGGUGAUUAAAAUCCAGACAUGCCAUAAUCGAAUCUGUGUCAUAACUACCUAGCUCAUCCAAACAAAAAUCUCCGCUAGGGAGGUCAUCAAGACCGAAACCCCCACCACAAUCAUCCCAAACUGAAAGAUCAUUGAUAUCUACAUCAUCCCAAACUGAAAGAUCAUUGUAAUCUAGAGGUGCAUACAAUUCACCAACAUCACUGUUUAUCACAGCCAAACUUUGUGAGGUUAAAAUCCCGCUUUCCUCAACAUUAUCCACUGCGAUCAGAUUUUCUAAAGUCAGAGUAUUUCUUCCAUCAAGAUCAUCACAAACAGCACCAUCUACUUUAGUCAGAUUUUCUGUUGUCAGACUGCCGGUUCCUCCAAGAUUUUUGUCGCUGUCUUCUUUAAAUCGAGCUUCACUAGUACUUCCAGACACACAAUUAGCCAUUGUGGCACCCGACUUGAGAGCAAUAGUGGGAGUCUUAGAAGAAUCGUGGGUAAUUUUACAAACAACAAUCGUAUCCUCAGCAGAAUUGAGAGGUUCAUUUAUCCCACUCAAUCGAUACUCAUGCAUUGUAUAAGAACCGAGUUUAUUUAAAUCAACCCCCACCCCAAGUGCUGCAGAAUGAGUCUCAUUGAUUUCAAACACCAAAUAUCUGUGUUACCAACUAGAGGGCUGGUUAGUUCUUCCAAGCCAGUAAAAACACUCGAAAUACCAAAAUUAUCAAACAUUUCAUAAUGAGGAGGAAAGCUCAUGAUUGUAUAUAUGAAUAGAAUUGAUAAAACAAGAAUAAAAUGCGCAGAAUGAACAAGACGAAGAGGAAAUUGACAGAAUUGAAAUACAAGCAAUUGAAGAAAAAUAAAAAGCUUAAGAGUUGUCUUCUUCCAUGCCACCUCCUUGAGUUGAGAACAGAUUAUAUAGCUGAGCAGGUUUGAUUGGGCUCAACUAGAUUUAUAGUCUGAAUUGUCUAGAGGCCCAAUUAUAUAAAUAGUCUGGUCCAACCCGAGUUUCAAUACAAGUCCGUUACAAUCCCUUCCCCUUAAAUUAUCCUUGUCCUCAAGGAUAACAGUGUAUGGAAAACAAUUUCCUGGCCCAAGGACAAAAACUAAAGCACUCCAAAACCAAGCACGAGACAAUCUCUCGACGGAAGUGACCAAUUUUUCCAGAAGCAUCAAGUUCUUGCAGAUUACUUCUCUUGGACCAAUACCCGUAUAAGCUUCCAAUUUAUUCAUCAAACCAACCCCAGAAAUGUCUUCUAGAUUAAAUGCUAAAAGCAACACACUCCAGUACCAAGCAUGUCUAAUUAAUGACCCCUCUAAAGAUAGUGGUAACAAUCUAACACCAACAGGUAAUUUCGAAUCAGACUUGAUAUGCGCCAACUUGAGCACUUCAAUUUUUCCCAACUCGUUCCGUAUGUCUUGGGUAAGUUUCUCAAAACUUUCUAGUGCUUUAAUAGGACCAUUAUGAAUAACAACAAGAAUUAAACUUACUAAUUCAAACCUCAACUCAACAAACACAUAUUUCAUGUCUCCAUUGUCAAGCAUGGUAGUUUCUUUACCUUUAGAAAUCAGAAUGCUAUCAGGAUAUCGAUCAAAAUUAUGUGUGAUAUCACCUGGAUCAAACACCAACACGAUAUCAUUCCAAAACCAAGCAACGACGAGUCCAUCAGAUUUCUUUUUGACGACAUCAAAAAUCUGUUUAUUGUCGGUAUGAACCAUUGAAAGUUCUUCAAAAUCAGUUAAUAUACAUUCACCCCUGAAAAUCCCAACAGCCACACCAAAAUGCUCCGUCUGCAGCAACUUUACUAUAUUAUCAUGGGCUUGUCCUGCCAAGUGAGGGUUUCCUGAUGUCGCAUUGACCUCUGUAGAAUUCUCACUAACAACAUAAACAGAGACUCUUGAUGUGCCUCUGCCAGGAGCAAAAUUAAGCGCAUCAUUCAUAGCAAAGUUGCCUGACUUGUUAUCCAACUCAUAAGCUAUUGCAGGCUCCUUGAUGGUUACCAUAUACAAGAUACCCUCAGAAACUUCUCGCAUGGUAAUCAUUAGGAAUACCUUUUCUGCAGAAGCUUGUGUCUCUUCCUCAUGAUAUGUAGGCUCAUCAAUAACAAAAACACUGUCCACAAGUUGCAAGACAAUAUUAACAUUAAUAUCAAAACUAUAUGUUGAUCCUUCCUUUUUACCAAAAUCUUCUGCCACCCCUCUAGAAGAGCCUCCAAUUUUAACAACACUUUCCAUUGUGCCUUCACAUCCAUUAAAUGCACCUUUAAUUUUACUCCCACUUGCUUCCUCGUUAGGUACCUUGGUAUCAAUAUCAGAGAUAAUUUCCAGACCAAAUAAUGGCAUCAAGAUCAAGUUCUCGACUAUAAUUGCUCCCACCAAUUUCCUAACAGCCAAAAUGGUCGUGAGAGUAUCUGCCUCGUAAGUAGCCAAAACAUAAGCACCAUUCUCCGGUUUUAAGAGCUGAAUCAACUCAGAUGAAGUAAAUAAUGUAACACCAACAUCAAAUGCAAAGACAUUCCAUGAAUCCGGAAGAAACUCAUAAGCUGUGCAUGUUGACAAAAAUGCAAAAACACGAUGAUGGAAGAACUCUACUUCUGAUUUUAACAUUAUAUUUGGUAGCCCUUGAACCUUACCGUACUCGUUUUCAUGUAGUUUGUAAGUAGUCAUAUCAUUCUUAGCAAGUUCAAAUGUAGAAUUUGGUUUCAAAGCUCUAAGGUUCAACUCAGCAUGGAUAGUCAUGGACUUAGUAGCAUAGGUAGUUGCUAGUGUGGUAUCGAAAACAUACCCUCUCUCCGAACUUUCAUCAAACACUUUGCACACAGACAUAGGAAGUGGCAAUUGUAAUUGUUCUGAACUUUCCGAAUUCUUAGUUCCAAGUUUGCUCAAAUCAUCCAGUUCUACAAUAACAGCAGAAUCAAUUUGAGGAAAUGGACUUACAAAUUUCGUGGAAACGUCUUCUAACUGAUGCUGCAAAGUGCCUUCAUCAACUUCUUUUGACUUCCCUUGUGCUUUCUUGUCAUUUACAUUUGACCUGUUUGAAAAAUUGUCCUGCAUCUUCUCAAUUAUCGCAAUCAUUUGAGUAAGUUUGUCUUCCCACUGGUCCACCUCAUCAUUGGCAGCAGCUGUAAUCAUCGGUAUGUUAGUGAGAUGUGGGUUGUCCAUAAGUUUGGGAGAAUCAGCAAUUGCACUGGUGGGUGUUGCAGGAGUGGUUGAUGCAAGGGCAUAAUAAGGUUGUCCAGUAGAAAGUGUGGUGUGUAAAUUUAGAGUGGACGGUAGGGUGUAGAAAUGAGGUAAGGAAAGUGGUGGUGGCAGAGGCGGUUCAAUAUGGUGAGACACAUGUGUUGGUGGUGUAUACUCAGCUAAUUGAGAAAAAUUAGGGUUGCUGGCCUGAUGUGGGGAAGGAAGCUGAUUCCAUGGGAUGUCAUUCACCAAAUCCAUGUUAUCCAUUUCCGAGGAACGCCAGCUCUGAUACCAUUUGUUACCAACUAGAGGGCUGGUUAGUUCUUCCAAGCCAGUAAAAACACUCGAAAUACCAAAAUUAUCAAACAUUUCAUAAUGAGGAGGAAAGCUCAUGAUUGUAUAUAUGAAUAGAAUUGAUAAAACAAGAAUAAAAUGCGCAGAAUGAACAAGACGAAGAGGAAAUUGACAGAAUUGAAAUACAAGCAAUUGAAGAAAAAUAAAAAGCUUAAGAGUUGUCUUCUUCCAUGCCACCUCCUUGAGUUGAGAACAGAUUAUAUAGCUGAGCAGGUUUGAUUGGGCUCAACUAGAUUUAUAGUCUGAAUUGUCUAGAGGCCCAAUUAUAUAAAUAGUCUGGUCCAACCCGAGUUUCAAUACAAGUCCGUUACAAUCUGCUCUCCCCAAUCAAAUCGCCCUUAUCAUCCCUGAUUUUCUUCCGACUUGUCUUGCCAACCCAAGUCCCACACCCCGCUUUUUUGGAGGUGUUUUUGGAAGCAGCACUGCUUGAUAGUUUGGACAAUCUGGUGAACACAAACAUGUACUUCUGAGAGGGUUUAAUACGAGGGGACUUGAGCCAACAUUCAUCGUUGGGAUCAAAAACUUGCCAUGGAUUGGAACAAGGGCCAUACACUUCUCUGUUCUUGACAAGAUUGCAUGAGAAUUGUUUUCUGGUAAUCCUGGGCUUGAGAUAAUCAGCGAUUAAUUCUUGAUCAAAGGGAUCAAACCUCCACCCACUCCUUGUUUCAUCAUCAUCUCCCAUCCUCUUGCUUUUUUACACACUCAAACUCAAGCGCUUCUUGCAAAGAACAGUAGAGUAGUUGUAAACAGAUAUAGAAACUUAAAAGAAGUUGUAAUCAUAACAAUGUGGAUUCUUCCCUCUUUAUAUAUAUAGGCUUCGUUGAGGGUUCUGAUUUUCUGAGUAAGUGCCAGGUAAGGAAACCCCUGUCGAACGUUGGGGUUUCCAUCCCGGUCUUGUUUAGCAGGGUUCAUCAUACUUGCGCUGGAAAAACAGAACUUUUGAUUUAUACUUUAUACAAGAUAUGUAAUUAUGUAGUCUUAAUAAUUUAGAUAAUAUCAAGUUAAAUAUAUUACAUAUAAAAAUAAAAUAAAAAUUGUUUAAUAUAUAAUAUUAAUUAUAAAAAAUAAUAUGAAUUUUAACAUAUUAUAUAAAAAAAUUAACAAAAUAUAAAAAUAUUGUUUAAAUAAGAUGUUAUAUUAAUAUUUCAUUGAAACUAUAAUAUGUGUUUAGGGAUAAAUGAGCUGUACAGAGUUAAAGUUUUAAGUUCUGAGCUCGGCUCGAAGAAAAUUUGAUAUAUUUGAAUUAGGUUUGAAAUUUUGAAUCAGAGUCAAAAGGAUAUUGAUAAAAAUUCAUAAUUUGUAAUGUUUGGCUCGAUGUAAACUAGAUUUAAUAUAUAAAAUUUAUUUAAAUAUAAAUAUUUAUGAGUACGGACCCAGAAAUUUAACUAAGUGGGGGCAGACAACACACAAAAAUCGCUAAGCAAGAUUUUUCACGACGAUGGUUGCAUCAAUGCAGUCCUCCUAGUUUAAGUAGAUGAUAAUAGAGAAGACAUCAUAUCGUGCCUGUUAUAUUUUAUUUUGAAUCAUGUGAUGGCAACGAAGUUCUUGGUGACAGGAUUAUUAUUUUGGAAAAAGGGAUGUUAUUUUAUAUUAGUUAAUGCGCGUAUACAACUCUAUCUUAUCCCGACUCUUCAAUUUGAGUCAGAAACCUGCGUCGUAGCAGUCGAACAUGAAUAAAAAAUAAGGCUUGAAGAAAAAAAAACACUCUUUUGAAACAGUCAUGCUAAACAACUCAUGUAAUCAAUGAUAUCCAGAAAUCGGAAAUUUAAUAUAAUAUUGAAUGCUAAAGCAACUUCACUCAAUAUGAUAUUCAAUUAGAUUUUCAGGAUGGCGAGCAUGCUAGUCAACCAUUUUUCGCCCCUAUAUAUAUUGAGUUCGUUCUAAUUUUGGCAACAUAUAUUGAUCAUGUAACCAAUGAUAUCCAGAAAUUGGAAAUUUAAUAUAAUAUUGAAUGCUAAAGCAACUUCACUUAAUAUGAUAUUGAAUUAGAUUUUCAGGGUGUAACAUGGGUUUUCCUGCAUAUUCAUCAUACAGAGUACUUUGUGGUUCAGGUGAAACUGACGAUGACGAUGGUGGUGAUGAGCAUAGAAGAAGCAGUCUGUAGAAGUUCAGCUACAUCUUAAAACCAACUCAGGACAAAAUAUCUUAUAAUCCUAUUCAAGCUACAUUUUAUUAUUUAUCAUGUACAAUCCAAAUUAUAGGGCCGUUUGGCUUAGCUUAAAAAAAGUUACUUAUUACUUAAAAUAAAAAAGUGGAUUAUAAGUGAUAAGUAGUCAUGGACUUAUAAAUUGAUUAAGUAUUUGGAUGAUUAAACAAAUAAGCAACUGUGGCAAGAGAAAAAAGCUACACAUUGGAGCUUCUUGCCACAUAACCCCCAAUAAGCCCAUGAAACUUAUUUGCCAAACGGUCAUGCAAAAGUAGAAGCUAGCUUAAAAACAAAAAAAGCCAACUUUUUUUGUUAGCCAAACCACCACUAAAUCUCCCUGGAUUUUUCUGAUUUGGAGAGUGAUUCACUAUUGAGUUCUAAGUAAAAAUAUCUGAUAACACUAUUGAUCCGAUCAUGCUAAGCUGCUACAUCUGACUUACAAGUCACAAGUACCUCAAGCAUUAGGAACUGAAUCACAAGGUGAAAACAUUUAAGUUAAGUGGUUAAGACUAUGACUACAGAAGAGUUCUUGCUGAGAAAUUCUCAUUCAUUUCUUCAUAGAUGCAAAUGAUCAGAUACAUUGACUCUUAAAGGCCUCAUUCCUUGGACCACUUAACACUCCUAUGACAAGACAAAAUAACAGUAAACUAAAGAGACAAAUUAAGCAAGCAAUAAGGAUAGACAACAAGACUGAUAUCAACUGCCAGCUUUUGAGACAGUUACUACUUCUGGACUUUGACUAUCUUAACAAAAUAAGAGGCCUGAUCAUGGUCCUUAAUACUCCCCCUCAAGCUGAGUGUGAAGGGAACUGAACGCCUAGCUUGCUGAGAAGAAACUGGUGUUGCUCAGUAGUUAACACCUUUGUGAAAAUAUCUGCAACCUGUGCAGAUGUUGGAACAUAAGUUGGUUUUAUAUGACCUUCAAUAGCUUUGUCCCGAAUAAAAUGGCAAUCAAUUUCCACAUGCUUUGUCUUUUCAUGAUGAACUGGAUUUGCAGCAAUAGCAAGAGCUGCUUGAUUGUCACAGAAAAUAUUUGUGGUGCCAAGAUUCUUCAACCCCAACUCUUUAAGCAACUUUUUCACCCACAUAACUUCACACACUGUCAUAGCUAGAGAUCGAAAUUCUGCUUCUGCUGUGGAUCUUGCAACCACAGAUUGUUUCUUGGACUUCCAAGCAAGAGGAGAUUUGUCUAACAUGAUACAGAAACCAGUUGUUGAACGCCUAGAAUUUGGGCACCCUGCCCAAUCACUAUCACAAUAAGCCUCCAGUUUAGCUCCAGAACUAGAUGCCAGGAGUAUGCCUUGCUCUGUAGAACCUGCUAAGUAUCUAAGAACUCUUUUAGCAGCUUGAUAGUGGACUGUAGUAGGACCAUGCAUGAACUGGCUUAGGACAUGGACUGUAAAGGCUAUAUCUGGCCUGGUUAAUGUGAGAUAGAUAAGCUUUCCAACAAGUCUUUGAUAUGAUUCUGGAUCAGGAAGAGGAUCUCCAGCUCCUGCUAACAGCUUAACAUGUGUGUCCAUUGGAAGUUUCAAGGGCCUACAGUUGAGAAGAUGGUACUCUGCAAGCAUGUCAUUGAUGUAUUUUUUCUGAGAUAAAAAUAUCCCUUGACCACUUCUAUCAACUUCAAUACCUAGAAAGUAUCUGAGUUCUCCAAGGUCUUUCAUUUUGAACUGAGAAUUCAGAAACUUCUUUACUUCAUUAAUUGCCUCCAUGCUAUUUCCUGUAAGGAUCAUGUCAUCAACAUAGGCUAGAAUGGCUGUAAAGACUCCAUUUUCUUCCUUUGUAAACAAAGAUGAGUCUGCUUUGGACUGAACAAAUCCUAUCUGCUUCAAGACCUUGCUGAGUUUCUCAAACCACUCCCUAGGAGCUUGCUUCAGACCAUACAAAGUUUUUAUCAGCCUACACACUUUCUCAUGAAACUUGUUGUAACUGGAAUAUCCUCCUGGUUGAUCAACAUUAAAUCUGAAUCCAGGACCUUCAUAUCCUGGAGGAAGUCUCAUAUAUACUUCUUCUUUUAAUUCUCCAUGCAAGAAUGCAUUUUUUACAUCCAUUUGAUGUGUGAUCCAUCCAUUUAUUGCUGCAACAGUCAAUAAUGAUCUCACUGUCACUAGUUUAGCUACAGGAGCAAAUGUUUGCUCAUAGUCCACUCCAUACUUCUGUCUAUUUCCCAUAAUCACAAGCCUUGAUUUAUAUCUGGUCUCAUCUCUUUGAGGAUCAUACUUGGUUGUAUACAGCCAUUUACAAUCUAUAGCAUGUUUUCCUGGUGGAAGAUCAGUAAUCUCCCAUGUGUUGUUCCCUUCCAAAGCCUCCAAUUCUUCAUUCAUGACUUGUAACCAUUGUCUCUGUUGUGCAGCUUCAGAGAAAUUUCUUGGAUCCUGAGUUUUGUUUACUUCUGCCAUAAAGCAUGAGAAUUGGGGAGUGACUUGAACUUUUGCCACCUUUUGAACUGCAUUUGCUCCCACAUGAUAAUCUGAAUGCCAUGAUGGAGUUGUGUGUUGCCUUGUGCUUCUUCUCACAGGCUGUGAAAUUUCAGACUCCUCAUCUUCUGAGUCUUCUUGGUUUUCUCUUCCUGCUUGAUUGUCAAUGUCAGAAUUAACCCAUGAUGAUUGAGUCUGAUUCUGAGUAGGCUUGUCUCCACCUGAAUCAGUGGCUGAUGUUGAGUGAAAAAUAUGAUGAGGAUAUAUACUUUCAUAGAAUUUUACAUCUCUUGAAACAAAAGAGAUACCUGUCAACAGAUUUUGAAGUCUAUAUCCCUUCUGUUUUGCUGAGUAGCCAAUGAAGAUACAUGGCACACCUCUAGCCUGAAACUUGUCUUUCUCUCUAUUGGAUUAUAGGCAAAUGCAAGACAUCCAAAGCAUUUUAAGUGCUUAUAGCUAGGCAUCUUCUUGUACAGCAGCUCAUAAGGAGUUUUUCCCUUCAGAACAGUGCUAGGAAGUCUGUUUGUAAUAUGAGUGGCAGCAAGAACACAAUCUCCCCAAAAUUGUGGAGAGAGUCCUGCCUGAAAUCUUAGGGCCCUUGCCAUUUCCAAGAUGUUUCUAUGCUUCCUUUCAACCCUUCCAUUUUGCUGAGGUCUCUCAUUGCAGGAUGUUUGAUGAACAAUUCUCAACGUAUCAAAUAAUGCUCUGCAGUUGCUAUCAUCAAACUCAAGAGCAUUAUCUGAUCUUAUAAUUUUUACUUUCUUCUUGAACUGAGUUGCUGCCAUCUUGAUAAAGCUCUUAAUUGCAUUAUAAGCAUCAGACUUCACUUUUAGUAAGUGAAUCCAUGUUACUCUAGAAAAGUCAUCUACAAUAGUGAGAAAAUACUUGAAUUUUCCUCUAUAAGCAACCUUGUAUGGCCCCCAAGUAUCAAUAUGAAUCAUUUCAAAUGCAUUUUUUGCUCUGGACUCACUCUUAGAGAAAGACAACUUAGUGAAUUUUGCUAAUGGACAUGUCAAACAUACAUCUUGAGUAUCCUUUAAUCCAAGAACUUCAAUUGCCAUAAUUCUUUUCAUAGGUGCAUGACCUAAUCUCUGGUGCCAGAGAGUUUCUUUACUCAAGUUUGGCACAUCUUUAAUUACAGUGGGAACCUCCUUACAUGCACUAGCAGUUAGAGCCUGUUUAUUUUCCUCAGGUUCAGUUCUCUUAACCCCAUGAGAUUGAUUUUUCACUCUAUUUAAGGUCUUUUCUAAGGGCUCAUUAACCAAAUAAUAAAGACCAUUCUCACUUCUUCCUAUAGCCUUCACUUCAUCAGUAAUUUUAUCUUGUAUAAUGCAGUAUAUAUCAUAGAACAUCACUCUACAUGCAUUAUCUUGACAUAGCUUAUUCACAGACAACAGAUUUUGCUUGAAUGCAGGAAUGUAUAACACAUUUUUAAGAGUUAUCUCAUUUUUAAGUCUUACAUCUCCACUAUGAGAUAUCUUAGAGGUUUCACCAGUUGGCAGGUUUAUAAAGGGAUGAUUUUGACACAGAGAAACAUUAUUUAUGAUGCUAAAGAUUCCAGUCAUAUGAUCUGAAGCACCUGAAUCUAAGAUCCACUCAUUGCAACUUAAGGAGUCAGCAUAGUGACAAGAGACCAUACCUGCAUAGUGGCCUUCUAUCUCAUCAUCAGUGUCACCUCCACCUUUUGAUGAUGAGGGGAGCAUCUUGAGAAGCUGCUCGAGUUGUUGUGGAGUAAUUGUAUUAGCACUGCUUGUGACAAAUCCUCCAUCAUUGUGAUACUGACCCUGAGCAUUAGCUGCAAUUCUGGGACCACUUCCUGUUCUUCCCUUAUUCCACCUAUGUUGAGUAUUGCUUCCUCUGCUUCCUCUUCCUCUGAAUGACCCUUGAGUUGGCCCUUUUAUCUUGGGAUGCCAGCUUGGAUACCCCACAAUGGUCCAGCAUUUGUCACUGUUGUGGCCAUUUUUACCACAAGCUGUGCAUUGAACAAUUAGCUGAGAUUGAGCAUUAGCAGAUACUCCCCCUGUGCUCUUACUGAACAUGGCCAGGGUCUCAGAAUCUUCUCUUCCAUGCCCCAAGACCUCUCUCUGGGCUUCUUCUUGCUCCAAGUAGCUACAAGCAGUCUCUACAGUGGGAAGUGCCUCCAUCAUGAGCAGCUGACUUCUUUGAGCACUAUAUACCUCAUCAAGACCAUUCAGAAACUGGAAUAAUUUUUGCUCAUCUUUCUGUUUUGUAAGAGCAUCCAUAAAUCUUGUGAUAUCAGCUGUUGUUUCAGUGAUUCCUGGCAAACAAUUUAGAGACUCAAGCUCUUCCCACAGAGACCUCAUUUGUGUGUAGUAUUCACUUAUGUGUUUUCCUCCUUGUCUGGUCUCAUACAGCUCUUUAUUGAGCUUGUAUUUUCUUGAGCCAUUUGUAAGGGCAAAUCUUUGUUCAAGAUUUGUCCAGAUCUGGUGAGCAUUGCUCACAAACAUGAUUGAGUUCUUGAUGGAUUCUGACACAGCUCCAAAGAUCCAUGAAAUAAUCAUGUUAUUACAUGUAUCCCAAGCUUCUGCCUUCACAAUAUCUUUUGGAUCCUUGGUUAUGCUUUCAGUAACAAAUCCAAGCUUCCGUUUUGAGGAGAGUGCAAUCUCCAUAGAUCUUUUCCAGGUUCUAUAAUUAGAUGAACCCUGGAGCUUAUCUAUUACCAUAAAAUUGUUCCCAUCAGAUGGGUGAAGAUACAAAGGGUUUGUUACUUCUAUAGUCGUCAUCUAUCUGGGAUUUCAAAGUUACCUACUGCUGUGAGCAACCUGGCUCUGAUACCAUGAAAACAUUUAAGUUAAGUGGUUAAGACUAUGACUACAGAAGAGUUCUUGCUGAGAAAUUCUCAUUCAUUUCUUCAUAGAUGCAAAUGAUCAGAUACAUUGACUCUUAAAGGCCUCAUUCCUUGGACCACUUAACACUCCUAUGACAAGACAAAAUAACAGUAAACUAAAGAGACAAAUUAAGCAAGCAAUAAGGAUAGACAACAAGACUGAUAUCAACUGCCAGCUUUUGAGACAGUUACUACUUCUGGACUUUGACUAUCUUAACAAAAUAAGAGGCCUGAUCAUGGUCCUUAAUACAAGGUAACAAGCAUAGCAUUAAUAACAGGGGAAAGUAGAUAGAUAACCCAGGAAGUAGUCAAAAGUACCAAUUCUUAAAAUGCAAAUUGCAUGAUAACUUUUAAGCCAAUGUAUCAAAACAUCCAUUGCUGCUUUGACAAAAUAAUCAUAUGAUAUAUAGCUAUCUAAAAUCUUGACAUAAUCAAUUGUUUUGGUGUCAAAUACCACCUCAUCUCAAAAACCGGAGUCUACAUCAGCACUCAAUGAACAAGAACAGAGUAGCUCGGAAGUAUAUUUAUUUUGGAAAGAAAUUGUAGUUUGUCUUCUUUCUCAUUCACCUUUGUAGUUCAAAAAAGGGCUCAACAGAAUAGGAGAAAAAACUUAUGCAGUAGCAGCCUUCAGAUAUGCGAUGAGGUCCGCACGUUUUUGUGGCUUCUUCAGUCCCGGGAAAACCAUCUUAGUUCCAGGAAUAUACUAUACCAAAAGAAACAUAGAGGAGAAAUCGUUAGAACAACUAGACAAUAGUAAUAGGGUUUCCCUUGGAUGUCCAUAAAUAUUACACAGAACAUUAACUACAUUUAGCAUAUAAUUAAACUUAUGAAAUCUCUUUGACACACAAAAAAAACAUAUGAAAUCUCCACAACUGAACAAUUUGCCCUACAAGAACUCUAAAAAUAGUCAAAACAUUAAUAAAUAUAACAGAUAUUUACCCAAAGAUACACAUAUCAGCAAACAAAUAGAACCCUAAUUAAUACUUCAGGUCUGAUCCAUCACAGAGAUUGCAAUUUGUUAGAUAAGCUUUUACCGAAAGUGCAAGCUGCAACAUUCACCAGAACAGAAAAGCAUAAUUCGUUACCGCUAAUAAAUUAGCUGAAUUAAAAAAACAUUGCAUUGACUUUCAGUUUCAAACAAAGUAAAAUCCCAUAUAUGUAAUUCAUAUAGCUCAUACAAAAACACACUUUUACAUGCUGCUUUCUCUGAUAUACAGUAAUCUAUAUAAUACAAGUAAAUCAUAUAUAUGUUCACACAUAAAAUACACUUCUAAUAUUGACAAGUCGUAGAACACUUAGGAUAUCUUCAUUCUAAUCACCUCAUUUUAUAGAGCAUGACACAUGAACAUAAAAAUUCGAUAUAAAAGGAAAAUGGCUGUGCGAAGAAUAUUGUCAAUACCUUCUUGGGGUUGAGCAAGUAAUCAUACAAAGUGUUCUCUUCCCAGAUCACAGCCUUGCCCUUGUUAGCAGCCGAGUAGGAAUAUCCGGCAGUUGUUCCAGAUUGUCUUCCAAAAAGCCCAUUAAGAUUAGGUCCUGAAUAUUCAAAAUUAACACCAAUUAUAUCAGAAUUCAUUCAUUCAUCAAGCAAAACCAAAACAAAUAAAUCCAUUCCUCUCUGCAAUGAAUAUUUCUCACCAAGGCACAAAAUACCCUAAAAUGCAUCAAACAAUACAUAAACACCCUCAUCUCAACAUACCACAAUCACUAAGCCCCUUGUAAAAAACCAUCAAAAAUUCGAGAUUUACAAGAUACAAAGCAAAAUAUCGUUUCAACAAAUAUACAUACACACAACCACGAUCCCUAUGAUUCCAUUUAAAUCAAGCAAAAUAAACUACAGAUCUAAACACCAUAAAAAACCCCUAAUUCAAUAGAAGAGCCAAGUCAUCAAUGCCAUCAAAAGCAUCGUUACACAUCAACGAGCAAGAAGACAAAUAAGAGCCUUAAUUGCGUCUCCUGAUCAAUGCCAGGAAUUCAGGCGGCGCCUGCCUUUGUUUGCAGUUAAUCUCCCGAUGCUGUACCAGAAGAGCUGAAGCCACCCUGGAAUUCACAUGUAGGUAGAGACUAGAGACUGUUUCUGCCAACACAAAGCAAAUAAUAUUCAGGCAUGUUCAUCACAGACAACUUAGUUAUGGAUUAAGUAGCGAUCUUAUGAUCUACUCGAACCAAAUCUUAAAAUGUGCAAAAGUAUUUU